UGUCACGGCCAUAUCACCCUGCAGCCCAAGACCGGUUACUCACUGAAGCUAAGCAGGGCUGAGCCUGGUCAGUACCUGGAUGGUAGACCACUUGGGGAAAAACUAGGUUGCUGCUGGAA
rnacentral:rRNA from 1 species